AUGGCGCCUUCUGUGUUACUAAAGCAAUGCAACACGAGCUUUCUCAAAAUUGGGGAAUCAAAGAAACAUGAGUUAUUCUGCAGGUUGGGUAGUUCCAUUUGUACUGCUAUGGGCAGUGCUGAUUGCAUCUCUGUUGAAAAAGAAGUGGAAGACAAGAGCACUACUGUACUUACUAGCAAGAUUGAUGGUGGAGUUUCUUUGAAGCCUAAUAGACCUGCACUUGUUGUGAGCAGCACAAGCUGGACACCAGAUGAAGAUUUCAGUAUACUUCUGGAAGCAGCACUGAUGUAUGAUAGACGUGUUGCUGCAACAUUAGGUGAAGAGGAUUCAAUGGAUGAGGGGCAGCUUUGGAUUGAUAUCAAGAACGGAAAGCAAUUUGAUUACCCAAGAUUGCUUUUCAUUAUCACAGGUAAAGGGCCUGAUAGAAAGAAAUAUGAGGAACAAAUAAAAAGGUUGAAACUGAGACGUGUUGCCUUCCGGACUAUGUGGCUUGCAUCGGAGGACUAUCCUCUGUUGCUAGGAUCAGCUGAUCUAGGCGUAUCAUUGCAUACAUCCUCGUCGGGGCUUGAUCUACCUAUGAAGGUUGUUGAUAUGUUUGGAUGUGGAUUACCAGUUUGUGCUGCUUCAUUCUCCUGCAUCGAGGAGCUUGUGAAAGUAAACAGAAAUGGACUUCUUUUCUCAACAUCUUCGGAGCUUGCAGAUGAACUUAUGGUGCUCUUCAAGGGAUUUCCGGAGGAAUGUGACACCUUGAAAUCCCUGAAAGGUGGUGCUUUGAGUACAGGGUCAUCUUCCAAAUGGUCAACAGAAUGGGAAACUAAUGCACUUCCUUUGGUGAAGCAGGUGAUUGGCUAA
rnacentral:rRNA from 1 species